CACAUGCUCCCUCCGUCACUUGUCGGAGGAAUGGAUGUAUUUAAAUGUAUUUUAGUUCUAGAUACAUCCAUUCUCAUCCAUUUUUGUGACAAGUAAUUUCGGACGGAGGGAGUAUUUA
rnacentral:pre_miRNA from 1 species